UACAGAGGGGGGCAAGCGUUAUUCGGAAUUAUUGGGCGUAAAGCGCGCGCAGGCGGUCCAUUCAGUCGCUGGUGAAAGCCCCACGCUCAACGUGGGAAGGUCCGGCGAGACGGGUGGACUGGAGGCAGGGAGAGGUCGGUGGAAUUCCGGGUGUAGUGGUGAAAUGCGUAGAGAUCCGGAGGAACACCAGAGGCGAAGGCGGCCGACUGGACCUGACCUGACGCUGAGGCGCGAAGGCGUGGGGAGCGAACGGG
rnacentral:rRNA from 1 species